rnacentral:rRNA from 1 species
CGGGGGGAGCAAGCGUUGUUCGGAUUUACUGGGCGUAAAGGGCGCGUAGGCGGCCAGCGCAAGUCAGUUGUGAAAUCUCCGGGCUUAACUCGGGACGGUCAACUGAUACUGCGCGGCUAGAGUGCAGAAGGGGCAACUGGAAUUCUCGGUGUAGCGGUGAAAUGCGUAGAUAUCGAGAGGAACACCUGCGGCGAAGGCGGGUUGCUGGGCUGACACUGACGCUGAUGCGCGAAAGCCAGGGGAGCGAACGGGAUUAGAUACCCCGGUAGUCCUGGCCUUAAACGAUGGAUGCUUGGUGUCUGGAGUUUUAUAGUCUCCGGGUGCCGCAGCUAACGCGUUAAGCAUCCCGCCUGGGGAGUACGGUCGCAAGACUG